GGCAGCGAGAGUGAUAGCAAUAUUACUUGUCGGCGACCGGCGCACGGGUGCGUAACGCGUAUGCAACCUACCAUCAACAGGGGGAUAACACUGAGAAAUUGGUACUAAUACCCCAUAAUAUCUCAUGCGGCAUCGCAUGGGGUUGAAAACUCCGGUGGUUGAUGAUGGGCAUGCGUUGUAUUAGCUGGUUGGUGAGGUAACGGCUCACCAAGGCGACGAUACAUAGGGGGACUGAGAGGUUAACCCCCCACAUUGGUACUGAGACACGGACCAAACUCCUACGGGAGGCAGCAGUGAGGAAUAUUGGUCAAUGGACGCAAGUCUGAACCAGCCAUGCCGCGUGCAGGAUGACGGCUCUAUGAGUUGUAAACUGCUUUUGUACGAGGGUAAACCCCGAUACGUGUAUCGGGUUGAAAGUAUCGUACGAAUAAGGAUCGGCUAACUCCGUGCCAGCAGCCGCGGUAAUACGGAGGAUCCGAGCGUUAUCCGGAUUUAUUGGGUUUAAAGGGUGCGUAGGCGGUUUGAUAAGUUAGAGGUGAAAUGUCGGGGCUCAACCCCGAAACUGCCUCUAAUACUGUUGGACUAGAGAAUAGUUGCGGUAGGCGGAAUGUAUGGUGUAGCGGUGAAAUGCUUAGAGAUCAUACAGAACACCGAUUGCGAAGGCAGCUUACCAAACUAUAUCUGACGUUGAGGCACGAAAGCGUGGGUAGCAAACAGGAUUAGAUACCCUGGUAGUCCACGCAGUAAACGAUGAUAACUCGUUGUCGGCGAUACACAGUCGGUGACUAAGCGAAAGCGAUAAGUUAUCCACCUGGGGAGUACGUUCGCAAGAAUGAAACUCAAA
rnacentral:rRNA from 1 species